rnacentral:rRNA from 1 species
AUUCAAGUUAAUAAGAGCAUAUGGUGGAUGCCUUGGCGAUAAAAGAUGAUGAAGGACGUGGUUGGCUGUGAUAAGCUCCGGGUAGCCGUCAAACAGGCUUCGAUCCGGAGAUUUCCGAAUGGGGAAACCCAUCAUCCUUAAUCGGAUGAUAUUACAGUCUGAAUACAUAGGACUGUAAAAAAUACCAGGUGAACUGAAACAUCUAAGUAACCUGAGGAAGAGAAAUCAAUUUAGAGAUUACCUAAGUAGCGGCGAGCGAACGGGUAAGAGCCUAAACCUAUCAGAUGUUAAAGCAUACAGGCGUUGUUUGGUAGGUGUUGUAGGGGUUAUAUUGUGUAACUGUAGGUGCACAGAGGAGUUAAAAAAUUAUUUGAUAAUAGAAUAACUUGGAAAAGUUAGCCAUAGAGGGUAAUAGCCCUGUACAUGAAAUCAAGUAAUCUCCUAAUAACUACCUGAGUACAACGGAACACGUGAAACUCCGUUGGAAUCUGCGAGGACCAACUCGCAAGGCUAAAUACUUUUAUCGACCGAUAGUGAACUAGUACCGUGAGGGAAAGGUGAAAAGUACCCCUGAAGGGGAGUGAAAUAGAACCUGAAACCGUAUGCUUACAAGUAGUAGGAGGCAGUUUAUCUGCUGACUGCGUACUUUUUGUAGAACGGACCGGCGAGUUACAGUAUGCAGCAAGGUUAAGCUAUUAUAGCGUAGCCGUAGCGAAAGCGAGUCUGAAUAGGGCGUCUAGUUGUAUGCUGUAGACCCGAAGCUGGGUGAUCUAUCCAUGGCCAGGGUGAAGCGAAGGUAAAACUUUGUGGAGGCCCGAACCCACUAACGUUGAAAAGUUAGGGGAUGAGCUGUGGAUCGGAGUGAAAGGCUAAUCAAACCCAGAAAUAGCUGGUUCUCCUCGAAAUAGCUUUAGGGCUAGCCUCAAGUGUUCAAUUUUGGGGGUAGAGCACUGAAUGGACUAGGGGCCUUACAAGGCUACCAAAUCCAAUCAAACUCCGAAUACCAAAAUCAGAUAGCUUGGGAGUCAGACUGCGGGGGAUAAGCUCCGUGGUCAAAAGGGAAACAGCCCAGACCAUCGGCUAAGGUCCCAAAAUAUAUGCUAAGUGGUAAAGGAAGUGAAACCACACAGACAACCAGGAUGUUGGCUUAGAAGCAGCAACCAUUUAAAGAGUGCGUAAUAGCUCACUGGUCAAGCAGUUUUGCGCCGAAAAUUCAACGGGGCUAAAGCAUAUUACCGAAGCCAUGGAUCCUAACUUGUUUAGGAUGGUAGAGGAGCAUUCUGUAAGGGCAGAAGCUUAAUUGUAAGAUUAGGUGGACUUUACAGAAGAGAGAAUGCCGGUAUGAGUAACGAAAGACAGGCGAGAAACCUGUCCGCCGAAUGCCUAAGGUUUCCUGGGGAAGGCUAGUCCGCCCAGGGUUAGUCGAGGCCUAAGCCGAGGCUGAUAAGCGUAAGCGAUGGACAAUAGGUUAAUAUUCCUAUACAACCAAAUUGCGUUAUUACCAAUGGGGUGACGCAGGAAGGUAGGCCAGCGUGGUUUGGUCGACUACGUGCAAGCAUGUAGGGUGCUAAUUAGGAAAAUCCGGUUAGCAUUAAACCCGAGGUGUUAUGCCGAUCCAAUUGCGGCGUAGUGGUUGAUCCUAUGCUGUCUAGAAAAACCUCUAGGGAGUAAUUUGGUUCUCGUACUAAAACCGACACAGGUAGGCAAGUAGAGAAUACUAAGGCGAGCGAGAAAACCUUCGUUAAGGAACUCGGCAAAAUAACCCCGUAACUUAGGGAAAAGGGGUACCAUUGUAGGGUGAAGAGAUUUACUCUCGGAGCUCGAAGUGGUUGCAAUAGCAAGGCUCAGGCGACUGUUUACUAAAAACACAGGUCUCUGCUAAGUCGUAAGACGAAGUAUAGGGGCUGACGCCUGCCCGGUGCUGGAAGGUUACGAGGAGAGGUUAGCGCGCAAGCGCGAAGCUUUGAAUCUAAGCCCCAGUAAACGGCGGCCGUAACUAUAACGGUCCUAAGGUAGCGAAAUUCCUUGUCGGGUAAGUUCCGACCUGCACGAAUGGCGUAACGAUCUGAGCGCUGUCUCAACGAAGGACUCGGUGAAAUUAUAUUAUUGGUGAAGAUACCAAUUUCCCACAGAAGGACAGAAAGACCCCGUGAACCUUUACUGUAGCCUGAUAUUGAACUUUGGUUUAUCUCAUGUAGGAUAGGUAGGAGACUAUGAAGCCGGAGCGCAAGCUCUGGUGGAGUCAACGGUGAAAUACUACCUCUGGUAUGCUGGAGUUCUAACUUCAUACCGUUAUCCGGGUGAAGGACAGUGGCAGGUAGGCAGUUUGACUGGGGCGGUCGCCUCCCAAAAAGUAACGGAGGCGUCCAAAGGUUCCCUCAGAGUGUUUGGCAAUCACUCGUAGAGUAUAAAGGCAUAAGGGAGCUUGACUGUGAGAUCAACAGAUCGAGCAGGAACGAAAGUUGGGCUUAGUGAUCCGGCGGCUCAGUGUGGAAUGGCCGUCGCUCAACGGAUAAAAGGUACUCCGGGGAUAACAGGCUUAUCACGCCCAAGAGUCCAUAUCGACGGCGUGGUUUGGCACCUCGAUGUCGGCUCAUCGCAUCCUGGGGCUGUAGCAGGUCCCAAGGGUCUGGCUGUUCGCCAGUUAAAGCGGUACGCGAGCUGGGUUUAGAACGUCGUGAGACAGUUCGGUCCCUAUCCUCUGUGGGCGCAGGAGAAUUGAGGAGCUUUGUCCCUAGUACGAGAGGACCGGGAUGAGCAAACCUCUGGUGUGCCAGUUGUCCUGCCAAGGGCACUGCUGGUUAGUCAAGUUUGUAAGGGAUAAGUGCUGAAAGCAUAUAAGCGCGAAGCCCUCUCCAAGAAGAGUUCUCCCAUCCAGGAAUGGAGUAAGACCCCAUGUAGAACACAUGGUUGAUAGGUUGGAAGUGUAAGCACAGCAAUGUGUUCAGCUGACCAAUACUAAUAGGUCGAGGACUUGAUAUA